ACUCCUACGGGAGGCAGCAGUGGGGAAUAUUGCACAAUGGGGGAAACCCUGAUGCAGCCAUGCCGCGUGUGUGAAGAAGGCCUUCGGGUUGUAAAGCACUUUCAGUAGGGAGGAAGGUAGUGUAGUUAACACCUGCAUUAUUUGACGUUACCUACAGAAGAAGCACCGGCUAACUCCGUGCCAGCAGCGCGGUAAUACGGAGGGUGCGAGCGUUAAUCGGAAUUACUGGGCGUAAAGCGCAUGCAGGCGGCCUGUUAAGUCAGAUGUGAAAGCCCGGGGGCUUAACCUCGGAAUUGCAUUUGAAACUGGCAGGCUAGAGUCUGUAGAGGGGGGUAGAAUUUCAGGUGUAGCGGUGAAAUGCGUAGAGAUCUGAAGGAAUACC
rnacentral:rRNA from 1 species